rnacentral:rRNA from 1 species
GAUGAACGCUGGCGGCGUGCCUAAUACAUGCAAGUCGAGCGAACAGACGAGGAGCUUGCUCCUCUGACGUUAGCGGCGGACGGGUGAGUAACACGUGGAUAACCUACCUAUAAGACUGGGAUAACUUCGGGAAACCGGAGCUAAUACCGGAUAAUAUAUUGAACCGCAUGGUUCAAUAGUGAAAGACGGUUUUGCUGUCACUUAUAGAUGGAUCCGCGCCGCAUUAGCUAGUUGGUAAGGUAACGGCUUACCAAGGCAACGAUGCGUAGCCGACCUGAGAGGGUGAUCGGCCACACUGGAGCUGAGACACGGUCCAGACUCCUACGGGAGGCAGCAGUAGGGAAUCUUCCGCAAUGGGCGAAAGCCUGACGGAGCAACGCCGCGUGAGUGAUGAAGGUCUUCGGAUCGUAAAACUCUGUUAUUAGGGAAGAACAAAUGUGUAAGUAACUAUGCACGCCUUGACGGUACCUAAUCAGAAAGCCACGGCUAACUACGUG